GACAGAGGAUGCAAGCGUUAUCCGGAAUGAUUGGGCGUAAAGGGUGCGUAGGCGGCGCGGUAAGUCGGGUGUGAAAUCUCGGAGCUUAACUCCGAAACUGCAUUCGAUACUGCCGUGCUUGAGGACUGGAGAGGAGACUGGAAUUUACGGUGUAGCGGUGAAAUGCGUAGAUAUCGUAAGGAAGACCAGUGGCGAAGGCGGGUCUCUGGACAGUUCCUGACGCUGAGGCACGAAGGUCAGGGGAGCAAACGGG
rnacentral:rRNA from 1 species